UACGUAGGGCGCAAGCGUUUGUCCGGAAUUAUUGGGCGUAAAGAGCUCGUAGGCGGUUCGUCGCGUCGGCUGUGAAAACCCGGAGCUCAACUCCGGGCCUGCAGUCGAUACGGGCGGACUUGAGUGUUGCAGGGGAGACUGGAAUUCCUGGUGUAGCGGUGAAAUGCGCAGAUAUCAGGAGGAACACCGGUGGCGAAGGCGGGUCUCUGGGCAACUACUGACGCUGAGGAGCGAAAGCGUGGGGAGCGAACAGG
rnacentral:rRNA from 1 species